AUUCAACUGAAGAGUCCAAAAUAGGACGAAACAUACGUUCUGGAU
rnacentral:hammerhead_ribozyme from 1 species